ensembl:lncRNA
GUCGGAGCUGCCCGUCAGUCAACAGUCGCCGGAGUGGUCAGACUGCGCUGAACUGCCGGAGUGGCCAGACUGCGCUGAACUGCCGGAGUGGCCAGACUGCGCUGAACUGCCGGAGUGGCCAGACUGCGCUGAACUGCCGGAGUGGCCAGACUGCGCUGAACUGCCGGAGUGGCCAGACUGCGCUGAACUGCCGGAGUGGCCAGACUGCGCUGAACUGCCGGAGUGGCCAGACUGCCCUGAACUGCCGGAGUGGCCAGACUGCCCUGAACUGCCGGAGUGGCCAGACUGCCCAGACUGUCCCGAGCUGCCAGGCGUCCCCAGUCCAGUCCGGCCCGUCCCUGCUCCCCGCACCAAGCCAGUGGUGCGUGUCCCCAGUCCAGUCCGGCCCGUCCCUGCUCCCCGCACCAGGUUAGUAGUGCGUGUCCCCAGUCCUGUCCGGCCCAUUCCUGCUCCCCGCACCAGGUUAGUGGUGCGUGUCCCCAGUCCUGUCCGGCCCAUCCCGGCUCCCCGCACCAAGCCGGUGGUGCGUGUCCCCAGUCCAGUCCGGCCCGUCCCUGCUCCCCGCACCAGGUUGGUGGUGCGUGUCCCCAGGCCAGUCCGGCCCGUCCCUGCUCCCCGCACCAGGUUGGUGGUGCGUGUCCCCGGUCCUGUCCGGCCCGUCCCUGUCCCCCGCACCAGGCCCACGGCGCGUGUCCACAGUCUGGCACGGCCUGUGUCCGGUCCACCGGUGAUCAGUCCUGUUCCGGUCGGCGGCUCUGCUCCGGAGCCUGAGCAUGCCGCUCCACCGUGGUCCAGUCCGGGCCAGAGGGGUAGGGCUAGGGUGGAGGCAGGGGGAGAAACACGCCCGGGGCCAGAGCCUCCACCGAGGGUGAGGCGCCCACCCGGGUCCCCCCCCUAAUAGACUUUAGGUUGGUGCGCCGGGAGUACGCACCGUUGGAGGGGGGGUACUGUCACGCCCUGACCAGGUGAACUCUUCUAUUUUGGUCAGGGUGUGGCAUUUCUAUAGUUUAUUUUCUAUGUUGGGUUAUGUCGAUUCCCAAUCAGAGACAGCUGUCGCUAGUUGCCUCUGAUUGGGGAAUCAUAUUUAAGUUCCUUU